UGGGGAAUUUUGCACAAUGGGGGAAACCCUGAUGCAGCGACGCCGCGUGAUUUAGAAGGCCUUCGGGUUGUACAAAUCUUUUCUAUGGGAAGAAAAUGACAGUACCAUAGGAAUAAGGACCGGCUAAUUACGUGCCAGCAGCCGCGGUAAUACGUAAGGUCCGAGCGUUGUCCGGAAUCAUUGGGCGUAAAGGGUACGUAGGCGGGUAAGCAAGUUAGAAGUGAAAUCAUAUAGCUCAACUAUAGUAAGCUUUUAAAACUGCUCAUCUUGAGGUAUGGAAGGGAAAGUGGAAUUCCUAGUGUAGCGGUGAAAUGCGCAGAUAUUAGGAGGAAUACCGGUGGCGAAGGCGACUUUCUGGCCAUAACCUGACGCUGAGGUACGAAAGCGUGGGUAGCAAACAGA
rnacentral:rRNA from 1 species